rnacentral:lncRNA from 1 species
AUUUGGUUUAUGUUUUUUAUAUCAAUAUAUAACAAUAUGAAUAAAAUAAAAGUCACCCUGCAGAUAAAGUUGAUAUGCCUGUUUAGCCAUACUACACCGAAACGUCGAUUUAUAAAUUCAGAUCUAUAGAGAGAGAGAGAUUUUAAGUCGGUGCAUUCUACAACGACAUUUCUAUUGUAAUCUGGGGAUUUAAGAGAAAGUUCGAGUUUAAUCGUGCGGUCCUGUUCUAUUAUCUAAUGACUGGUGACAGAUUCACUGCAGCAGCAUCAAAACCCAUGACAGCGAAUCAUGCGGAGCGUCUCGAUCUGCUGGUCGUUAUAUGGGAUCAUUAAAUACCGAGGUUUUCUGUAGAGUGCAGAUAAUGCUGAUAAGGAUGGUGAGAAGGAGGAAGAUUUCCAGAUGCCGACACAGCAGUGGGCAAUCGUUCGAUCACUGAUUCUUACACUGGAAGGGUAAACAUUUUGACUGGCCAUUUCUCAUUCUCAGCAGUCAAACCUCAUGGACCACAGAGCUCAGAGAGACAACAGCAGGGCCAGCUACUUUGGAAAUGUUAAGAACAGAUUGGGAUCAAAGCUGCCGGCUGGAAUUUCGCAGCCUCCAGGCUUCAUUACUGCUCAGUGUUCCAUUGGCGCUCUGUGUGCACUGGGGAAGAGUGCUGGGCAGGAAAGUGUCAAAGGACAUCACCAAAUCCGGAACCCCAAACUAAGACAGUACUAUCUAAAGGGUAUAUGAAUGACCAUUUACAAUGAUUGACAAGUAGCUGAUUUGUAAGGCACCUAACCACACACAGGGAUGUGAUUCUUUUGGAUUAAUCUGGAAUUCCAGUUAUUUCGGCCUAAAAUCAUACCCCAUGGGGGA